rnacentral:rRNA from 1 species
CCUGCUCAAUGAGUAAUUAAAUAGCCGCUAUUUAGUGCUAAGGUAGCAUAAUCACUUGUCUUUUAAUUAAAGAAUAGAAUGAAUGGACAAACGAGUUAAAAACUUUAUUUAAAUUAUUUUACUAAACUUAUAUAAAAGUUAAAAAGCUUUUAUUUCCAGAUUAGACGACAAGACCCUUUAGAACUUUACUUUAAGUUAAGCUGGGGUGGCUAUAAAAUAAUUAUAAAAACUAAUAUACUUUAAACAAAUAUCACAACAAAAAUAUAACAAGUUACCUAAGGGAUAACAGUAUAAUAUUAUUUUAAAGUACUUAUAAUAAAUAAUGUUUAUAACCUCGAUGUUGAAUUACUUAACUCUCAAAAGAAAAUUUUUCAAAAGUAAGUCUGUUCGACUUUUAAUAAAGUACAU